rnacentral:rRNA from 1 species
UACAGAGGUGGCGAGCGUUGUUCGGAUUUACUGGGCUUAAAGGGUGCGUAGGUGGUUUCGUGUGUCGGAUGUGAAAUCCCACUGCUCAACGGUGGAACUGCAUUCGAAACUGCGGAACUUGAGUGCAGGAGGGGAGAGCGGAAUUCUUGGUGUAGCGGUGAAAUGCGUUGAUAUCAAGAAGAACACCGGUGGCGAAGGCGGCUCUCUGGAAUGCAACUGACGCUGAGGCACGAAAGCCGGGGGAGCAAACAGG